AGAGUUUGAUCCCGGCUCAGAUUGAACGCUGGCGGCAUGCCUUACACAUGCAAGUCGAACGGCAGCGCGGGAGCAAUCCUGGCGGCGAGUGGCGAACGGGUGAGUAAUAUAUCGGAACGUGCCUUAGAGUGGGGGAUAACUAGUCGAAAGACUAGCUAAUACUGCAUACGACCUACGGGUGAAAGUGGGGGAUCGCAAGACCUCAUGCUCUUAGAGCGGCCGAUAUCUGAUUAGCUAGUUGGUGGGGUAAAAGCCUACCAAGGCGACGAUCAGUAGCUGGUCUGAGAGGACGACCAGCCACACUGGGACUGAGACACGGCCCAGACUCCUACGGGCCGCAUUAGUGGGGAAUUU
rnacentral:rRNA from 1 species